AUACGUAGGGGGCAAGCGUUGUCCGGAAUUACUGGGCGUAAAGAGCUCGUAGGCGGCUCAGCAAGUCGGUCGUGAAAGCCCGAGGCUCAACCUCGGAACUGCGGUCGAUACUGCUGUGGCUAGAGUCCGGUAGAGGAGAGUGGAAUUCCCGGUGUAGCGGUGGAAUGCGCAGAUAUCGGGAGGAACACCAGUGGCGAAGGCGGCUCUCUGGGCCGGUACUGACGCUGAGGAGCGAAAGCGUGGGGAGCAAACAGGAUUAGAAACCCUUGUAGUCC
rnacentral:rRNA from 1 species